rnacentral:rRNA from 1 species
AGAACGAACGCUGGCGGCAGGCUUAACACAUGCAAGUCGAACGGUUGUAGCAAUACAGCAGUGGCAGACGGGUGAGUAACACGUGGGAACCUUCCUAGGGGUACGGAACAACUCAGGGAAACUUGAGCUAAUACCGUAUACGUCCGUGAGGAGAAAGUUUUAACGCCCCUAGACGGGCCCGCGUAGGAUUAGGUAGUUGGUGAGGUAACGGCUCACCAAGCCUACGAUCCUUAGCUGAUCUGAGAGGAUGAUCAGCCACACUGGGACUGAGACACGGCCCAGACUCACGGGAGGCAGCAGUGGGAAUCUGGACAAUGGGCGCAAGCCUGAUCCAGCCAUGCCGCGUGAGUGAAGAGGCCUUGGGUUGAAGCUCGUUUACCAGGGACAGUAAUGACGUACU